UAACAAGAUCAGUGUGGGCACUACUACUGCUAACCCCACAUAAAGCAGUGACCACGAAAAGUCCUUGUAAUCAAUGGAGAAAGAAACCUUUCUUCUCUGCAUAAAAAUCUAUGCCACAGAUCUAUGGCAUUCUUGUAAAAAUCUGUGCCAAGCUCUGUUUGCUUUGGGGUGAUGGGGAUUUCAGCCCUCACUCUUUAUUGUUUGUGCUGUUUGCACCCAGGCAACUGGAUACAGCUCUCAUUUGGGCAGAGAAUGGGGAACGUGUGGUGUUCACAUUGAUAGAAAAAGCACUGGGCCAGAAAAGGUUUGAGGAAUACGGGGAAAAAAAGGCAAAUGGAAUUGCCGUAGGAGGUCUGUAAGCUGAAGUAUGAUGAGGGGAAAAAAAGGCUAUCCAGAGGGUUAUAACAAAUCAAGAGGUUUAUGGGAAAACAAGAAGGAUAUGGAAAGACCAUGGGUUUUGCUCCAUCAUAUCCAUCAAUAGCUGAUUUUGCCCUCCCGCAGCCUCCUUGCCUGCAACAGCCCACGUUCCUUUCUCAUGCUCAAAUGCCACUUUGUUCAUCAGUCAAAGGAAACUUUCUUGUGACCCUGUUGUAUGCUGCCCAGCAAAUCUGGAGGGCAGAAUGGAAUAUGAAGCAAAGAAAACAUGACAGCAGGAAAUGGAGGAGGAAAAGAUCUACCCGCCUUGAAAUGGGCUGAUGGACAAGUCUGAGAGUGACUUUUCAAAGGGCCACAUGAGAUGACAGCUUGCAUUGGGGCUGCUUUUCAAACACUGCAAGAGAAGGUUCCAAAACUGUCAGAGGACCAAGUAGUUGAAUCAUUUGGAGAGGCAGAUGCUUUUUUGGAUACUUGUCAGCUCUUGAAAGGCUUCUUAUGGUUCUCUGCAGCCCAGCUUUCUUUCAAAGGCCUGCAUGGAAAAGUUAUAACGGAAGGCAACAUUUCAGAUCAGUGAAUUUCUGCUGCUCAUGUGCAUAUAUAACUUUGUCUGAGAGAUUGACUUGAUUUCAGGACAUGGUUUUAAUGUGGUGCAUGAAGUAGCUGGAGAGCAGUAUAGAACAUGGGCAACCAGAGGCUGUCUCAUAUUCGGGACCACCAGGUAUGAUGACCACACUGAUGGGAUAUUUCUGGGGCAAAGACAACCUACCCAACUGGAAGCACAUGUAUAUCGAGAGUGGCUGCUCUUGUCAAAAACUACAGUGGACUGAUUUCACCUUCCAGUGGUGGAUGGAGCAUCUCAAACCUUAGACAGAAUCCCAUCCCCUCAUCCUCCCUGCACAAAACCCCAUCUCCCCAUGGGAAGCAUGCAGGACAGAUUUCUGCUCUUUGCUGAUGUCUUUGUCCGGGCAGCUCCUCAUAGCAGCCUGCAGCUUCCUCAUGGCAGCCUAUAAGCGAUAGCCUGAGCCCUUUCAUUUCUUGUUAGCAAGCCAUAUUAAUCCCUAAAACAACUCCCCUCCACUUGCUCACCUUGAACUACAAGAACUCAUUUCUCGUUCAUCCACACAGCAUCAUAAACAGAGCCGCAGUGGCAUGAGGGGACAGCAGCAUGGGGGAAAAUGGCUCUCUUUAAUGAGAUGCAUCCCUGUCUUGCCACCCCUCCAUGUGCCCCACUGCCUCCCUCACCCUCUGCUAGGUCUGGAUCAGAAGCAGAGCACGUCUCCCCAUUCCUUUCCAAGAGACGGACCCCUGCAGAGGCGAGGAGAUUAACACCGCUGGGCUGUGCCAAACGGCAGGCUGAUUCCUCAAUGUGGGUCAUGUCCCAUGGGACCGGAGCCAAAAGCAAACCAGUCUGUCAUUGCAGAGUAUUUAUAGGAGGGCUGAACCUAGCCCGCAGCCCCUGCACGGCUUCCCCACCCUUCUCAUCCGCUUGCUGAAUGCUUAAAUUUGAAACAGUUGUUGCAUGUUGUUUUAUGGCUGCUGGGGUAUGGCUGGCUGUCUCCCUUAUCGGUGUAAAACGGGGAGCUGUCAAGUGGGAGGGAACGCAUGAGUGGUUUGGUUGAAGUUUUUCAUUUCUUCUGUGCUUCUGAUUCCCCCCAAGCUGGCUUGGUUUGCAAGUGGAGACACCAGGAAUGGGUUGUAGUGGGAUGCUCUCGGCGUUGAUCCAGGGAGGACUUUCUGGUCCGAUGAGCCUGGACAUUGAAGUCCUCUGACAGAGAGCCAGAGAUACUUCAGGAGAAGAGAGGGCUUAUCUGGAGAAGAGGAGGCUCAGGGGAGACCUUUUAUCUCUCUACACUACAGCUACCUGAAAGAAGGUUGUGGUGAGGUGAGGGCCAGCCUCUUCUCCCAUGGAACUAGCGAUAGGAUGAGGGGAAAUGGCCUCCAGUUGCACCAGGGGAGGUUCAGUUUGGGAGUUAGGAAACAUUUCUUCUCCAAAAGAGUGGUCAGGCACUGGAAUGGGCUGCCCAAGGAGGUGGUUGAGUCACCGUCCCUGAAGGUGUUCAAGAAACAUCUAGAUGUUGUACUGAGAGACAUGGUUUAGUGGGGAAAUAAUGGCGGUAUGUUGAACUCGAUGGUCUUGGAGGUCUUUUCCAACCUUGGUGAUUCUAUGAUUCAACUUUGCUCUGAGGUGCUCUGUCAGCAGAGCCUUCCUGCCUGUCCUCCAAUGAGUUUGGAGAGAGAGAAGUAUUUACACACUUCUGGAGAAGAAAACUGGAGAGAGAAGUCCGAUGGGGAUAGUGAGGUGGAGACAGACCGAAGAAGUUUUGAGCACAGUCAGGUUUGGCUUUAGAAGGCAAAAGACCCCAGUUCAACAUUCUCCAUUCUGCAUCCAAAGAGGAAAGGAAAACCAUCUUCAUGUGCAGGAGAACAUGAACGCCACAUCACUGGAUUGGAAUAAAUACCAACAUAAACUCUGUGGUGAUCUCAAACCUCACAUGGUCCCUUUUCUCUCUUAUUCCACCAACUCACCAUAAAUGCUGUGUUUUAUUAAGGUUGUAGCUUCACCUGGGGAGGAAGUAUCUAGGGUUUGAAACCCACUAAGAGAUGUAGAGGAUCAGUGUUGGUGAGUUUAUCCCUGUCUGCAGAGAGGAUGAAAUGUCUAAACUGAGACAGGUAAGAACUGGAAUCUGAUGGAAGACAGGGAAGAGAGGAGAACAAGAAAACUGGAAAAAGGAGAGAACUUCUAACCUACAAUCACACUGUCCGUGCUGGUUGAAAUCCAGGUAUAAACACACCCGUUUCCUUAUGUUUUACUUUUCAGAACAUGUCUUGAAGACAGAAACAGGGGUUAGAAGAGCAGAUUUUACUCCUGUGAUUAAGAUUUGCACCAUUUGACUUUGGGUUGUAAAGAAAAAGAAGAAAAAAUAAAACAAGGGAAAAAAAAAAGAGUAAUGCUUUACUAAUUAAGGCACAAUUGAAAGUGAUUGGUGUGCACUGGCAAGCUGCUCCUCUCAGAAAGAGCUGGACUGACAUCUCUACAAUCACUCAGUGAGUAAGCACUGCGAAAACACUGUUUGGCCUGGAAGGAGCUAAUAAGUGCAUAGAUAAAAUCUUAUUUUGAAAGCAACAACAAAGGGCAUGUGAUUUAUAUCUUAGUUGGUGACUUCAUAUGUUUUGCAGAGUUUCUCCAAAAUAUAUCGGAAUUCAUAAUUCAUUUUUAUAACGCCUUACAUUAAAAUAAUAAAUGUCAGGAAGUUUUUCAAGAGACUGAAAAUUCUGUAAGCAGUGCUGAGUGAUCAAAGGAGGAUUUUGACAGGGAGAGACUCCCGUUGACUUGGGGCUUUGGAUCAGACCUGACGCUGGCAACAAAAUGGACAACAGUUAAUAAAAGUGUGCCUGUUAGAACUUGGAUAAGUUAGAGCAGCUAAUUGCAGCAUCUCAACACAAGUUGGGGGAAGAUGCAUGCUGGCUGGAUCCUCACCGCUGCACGUGAUGGGAUGCUGUUGCUCGUCUACAUGGCAACAACCACGGAUGAGCCAAGACAAAGGAAGUGAUAGAGGAGGUGGAGGAGAGAGCAGGGAUUAGAGAGCUGGAGGAAAAACAACUUUCAGGGGGAGAAACCAUUCCAAAACCUACAUUUAUGCAAGGAAAAGGACUGCUGAGUUAAAAGUAGUAUAUCAUUUCUGGACUUUUUCAUUUCCUACAUGUUGGAGGAGUUAUCUCUGUGUGUUUCCAUUCUUUUUCUUAAUGGAGGCAUAUAUGACGUGUUUCUCACUCAUUGUAGUAUUUCAUGUUUUCAUGAGUGUUAACAAAAGCAUGGGACAAAGCCAAAGAGGUAACUACCCACCAUACCCUAGUGCAGCUGUUUCACGUUUAUAAAACUCAUGUAUCACCAUGCAGAAUUGGUCAGUGUUUUGCCUGUCUGUACCUGCAGGGAUGUAUUUUGCUGCAAAAUGCCAUUCAGGUUUGUGGACCACAAAAUGGAGAUGGAGAUCCCACAACUUCAGUUGUAGAGCAACCAGAACUCAUUCUCUCCUCACACAUCUAGAGCUCCACUCCCAGCCAUCCUAGUGGCCUUGCUGGGCUUUUUUCUAACCAUGCUGGUGGCCUUGCUGGGUGUUUUCCUAGCUCCUGGUACUAGGGAGCUCAAGUCCAGUGCCCAGAUGUGAUCUCAGGGUCUGAGUAGAGGGGAAGAAUUAUAUCCCCUAGCUUGCUAGCUGCCCCUUUGCACAUUCACCUCUGGAUGUGAUCAUCCUGUGCUGCAAGUGUGGAGACAUAGUAGUGAGGACCUCAUAGUCUACCAAGAUGCCCCUGGUCUAUCCAGAUGGUCCCAGCUUGUGCUGCCACAUGGGUUAUUCCUCCUCAUAUACUGAACUCUACAUUUCUCUGCGGUGAACUUCUUGAGAUUCCUGCUAAUCCUUCUCUCCACCUCAUUUCUUCGAAUAGCAUUGCUCCUCUGCACUGCAUCAAUCACUCCUUGUUUGUGUGUCCUCUGCAGACUUGCUGAGAGGGCAGCCUGUUCACUGCCUAAGGGCUGCUUGAGCUGCCAGGUAGCUCCACAAUGACAUCCUUUGGAAAUGUGCACCACCUCCGACUUGAUCAGCUGGGCUGUACAACCUUAAUGGUAUAGAAGAUUCCAUGCAGUUUCAAGUCGUCAUCCAACUUUUAGAUGCAAGAUCUAAAGGCCCAUGUGGUACUUUAAUAUCUUGAUGAUUUACAGCUGGGAUUGAGACUUUGUCCAAACUUUCACUCCAUUUGUAUAAACCUUUCAUGCUGAUUGAGAACUCUGCAAAUGAAGUCUCUGACUUUUAUUUACACUUUAUGAAAAUUGAGUUGUUCUCAAGUGACCCUACAUCUCACCUCAGAGUGGUGAAAAUUCACAGCCACGGAGCGUGGAUUCAUGCAGACUGAGGGCUCAGUUUGUAGAUCUGAAUCUACAGAUAUUCAAAGAGAUUUUUCCCAGGGGAAAACAGUCAAAUGUGGAUGAUAAAAGUGAGUGAGUAAUGUACUGAGAGCAUAUCUUCUUACUGCAUUUGCUCGGAGUGUCUGUUUAUGAUGAAUGUAAAGCAGACCCAACAGCAGAGUUCAGUUAGGGGUGUGCGUUUAUGUGCUGGGAUUUUAUGUCUAACAUGGCCUGUUAGGCUUUUUGAAAAGGAAAAACAUAAAACCUUGCCUGUUUUCUUAAAAAAAUGCAUUACUGUACUGCUCUUCGUGUUUUAAAGUAGUGAUAAAAAAAAAAGAAAGAAAGAAAGAAAGAAGUUGUUUAUAUUAUUUGUAUUACCUUAAGCCCCAGGAAGAACAGACACAACUCCAUUUGCAAGCAAAUAUAGCUUGUGUUGGAUUGAAUAGCCCAAGAAGGUGUCAUUAUUCGUUUCUCAGAAUGCAUCAGCUUAAUGUCUUGCUGAGGUUCACAUACAAACCCUACAGCAAAGCUGGACCUGCGAGCAGAACAGCUCCUGCCAAGAAAACAAAGACCGUAUCAGCUGGAUGGUAGGUGCCUGUGAUGUGUGAGGGAUAAGCAGAGAGCUGUGGAAAGAUUUCUGAGAAGGAACCACAUCAGUGUGCUGGGCCAGCGCUCCCUUGGUGCCUGAAACCUCCAGCUGCUGAUGUUCUGGAGUGAGAAAAUGGGCAGAGAGAUUAUUUUUGAAUUUUUGAGGGCUGGCUUUGCAUCUUGGCCCAUCUUUUUCUGGAAACGGUUAGUAGUUGUAACUGACUCCCAGAUGUGUGGCUAAAAUAAUUUGCUUUUAUUAAUAUUCAGAUAUGAGAAUCCAGAAAUAAAGUGGGGAAAGAUGUUAAGGGCAGACUAUUGCAAGUUUUCUUGCCUUUUGCCUUGAAAAUGCUUGUGCAGGCCCUAGCUGGAGGCAGGUUCCAGGAUGUAGAAUCACAGAGUCAUUAAGAUUGCAAAAAUAGAUCACCAACUCCAACUGCUGACCCAUCCCCACCAUGCUCACUAAACCAGCCCCUCAGAACAUCUCCAUGGUUCUUGAGCCCUUCCUGGGAUGGCGACUCCACCACUUCCCUGAGCUGCCUGUUCCAAUGCAUUGCCAUGAACGCCAUUUUGGGUUGGGACGGUGCUUCUUAACUUUGCCUGGGCUCAAGCCUGCACUACUGGCCUGUGAACAUCUCAUCAGUUUUACUACUUCUCUCCACUGCCUUGCAAGAGUGGACAGUGCCAUAUAUCCUUUUGACUUGGUCUAGAGGGAGGUGUCCCUGCCCAUAGCAGGAAGGUUGGAACUAGAUGGUCUUAAAGAUCCCUUCCAAGCCAAACCAUUCUAUGAUUCUGACUGUGUGACAGGAGACAGAGAGGCUACAAUCACACUACAGUGACCAACUCACUGUGAUGAUUUAGAGAAACUGGUAGAGCUCCUGAAUUGCAGACUGAUUUUAUGAAAGCUCGCCAAAGUUUGCAUUUCAUGUCUCAUGGAAGCACUCCAAAGAGUGCAGAAUGGGAGCUCCAGGUGAGCUCAUGUGUCCUGGGCAGUGUGAAAGAGCAACGCUCUCCCUGGUGGACUGCACUACAGCACAUGAUCCCUUCCAGAUGAGGCAAAAUCUCCUUUGCAACAUGACAGAAAGAGCCAGCACCACAGAGGGCAUGGAGGAAGCUUCAGGGCAUACAGAUCUGAGAUGGCAGAACCAAAUAUGUCUUUCAAGGUAGCACAAAAGCCAAAGGGGAGCCUUUCUCAGCUCAGACCCUCCAUACAUUCUCAUCCAAACUGCUAAGCUUUGCUAGGGGAGGUUGCAUUUCACCAGUGGAUGGGGUGGUUUCUCUAUGUCAUUUCACUUGCUGAAGACUCUUCUGACUUAGGUCUGUGAGCUGGUAUUAUUAUUAUUAUUAUUAAUAAUAAUUUAUCGCAUAGUUCCCC
ensembl:lncRNA